AUUGAACGCUGGCGGCAGGCUUAACACAUGCAAGUCGAACGAGUGGCGGACGGGUGAGUAAUGCUUGGGAAUAUGCCUUAUGGCGGGGGACAACAGUUGGAAACGACUGCUAAUACCGCAUACCAUCAGAUGUGCCCAGGUGGGAUUAGCUGGUUGGUGGGGUAACGGCUCACCUUGGCGACGAUCCCUAGCUGGUCUGAGAGGGUGACCAGCCACACUGGAACUGAGACGCGGUCCAGACUCCUACGGGAGGCAGCCGUGGGGAAUAUUGCACAAUGGGCGCAAGCCUGAUGCAGCCAUGCCGCGUGUGUGAAGAAGGCCUUCGGGUUGUAAAGCACUUUCAGCGGGGAGGCGUUACCCGCAGAAGAAGCACCGGCUAACUCCGUGCCAGCAGCCGCGGUAAUAC
rnacentral:rRNA from 1 species